rnacentral:pre_miRNA from 1 species
UUCGCAAGAAGGUGUCAUUCAUGUACACUAAAAUAUGAAUGGCGCCUUUUAGCGAAGA